AAACGACUCUCGGCAACGGAUAUCUCGGCUCACGCAUCGAUGAAGAACGUAGCAAAAUGCGAUACUUGGUGUGAAUUGCAGAAUCCGUGAACCAUCGAGUUUUGAACGCAAGGUGCGCCCGAAGCCAUUCGGUUGAGGCACGUCUGCCUGGGCGUCACGCA
rnacentral:rRNA from 1 species